GCCUUCCCUGUAGCUCAAUUGGUAGAGCAUGGUGUAAGCAACGCCAGGGUUGUGGGUUCGAUUCCCACGGGGGGCC
rnacentral:tRNA from 1 species